rnacentral:tRNA from 1 species
GACCGCGUAGUUCAGUUGGAAGAGCAUUGGGCUGGUAUUCCAAAGGUCGUAGGUUCGAAUCCCACCGUGGCCG